UAACGAUGGGUGUUGGGCUUUUAACAGGAUCAGCUCCUGUUAAUAUACCACGAAGUGGACUUGAUCGCCACCCUCCACGCUUGUCCCCCUCACCACCAGCCAUAAAUCUGUUCUCGGGGAUACGAGUUGGCACUCAGGAAAGACCGUUGGAAGGAUCGGCCAAUUCUGGGUCUCUAUUUUUCAAACGGGUUGGAAGUUAUAGUAAUGCGGGCGCGCCGUUUCACGACUGGGUGAAUCACCAAACUAGUCAAGUAACAACACUUGUAGAGGAUUGGCGAGUUCUGGUGCAAAUACCUCGCCUUUACUAAGCAAUCUAGCUUCUGCGAGUGGCUCGCUUGGAAAUCACGAGUUGCAGAGACUGCGAGAAGAAGCCACAACUUUACCAAGCAAAAUGCUUUCCCUAGAGGAAGAUUUGUCGCAAGCUAGAAGUGCCUGCGAUGUUUGGAGAUGUAAAGCAAUGGUUGCUGAGCAACAGCGUGAUGAGGCGGUGGCAACGAUAGCUGCUCUUCAAAACGAAAUGAGGUUACUUCGCGAUUCGCUAUCUGUUCACUCGCAUCGAAUCAAAGAAGGGGAAGACUUGCGACAUGUUCCGAUUUAAUUACAGCGAUAUCACAGCUGCCGAGUUAUUCAUUCUACAGCUAACUUUCAGUUGUUUUUCGUUUGAUUUCAUGCCCACUUAGGUAGUAAGUACUUGAUAAAUUUUCAUACACUUCUCGGAUGCCCAUCAUUUUCGAAGUAAAAUUCUUCGGCGUAUAUUAUUGUCAUCCUUAGGUUACGUUAGGUUUGCUUCGUUGGCUUGUGCUGCAUAAUUUUUUCUUGUCCAAUCCAUCUAUUAUUAACGAUGCCAAUUCUGACGACUGUUCUAUUUCUGUUUUCUGUUCCUUUCUCUCAGUGCUUGAAUGUCCACUUUAAAGUGGUUUGUUCUCCAUUUCCUGUUGAUGCUGAUAUUCAAACAGUGAUGAUGUUGAUAAUUCUUUUUUUCUCUCUCUCCCUGUCUGUCAUUUCAUUGCAAUUCUUCAGGAAUAGUUUUGUCUUCCCAAUUCUUCAGACCAUAUGGUUAGACAGUUAAACUGCAACAUUGCACCAUGGUACCAACAAUUAGCCGUAGGCCUAAAAAUAUUAAUAAAAUGUCCGUUACCCAGA